GACGAACGCUGGCGGCGUGCUUAACACAUGCAAGUCGAACGGAAAGGCCCUGCUUUUGUGGGGUGCUCGAGUGGCGAACGGGUGAGUAACACGUGAGUAACCUGCCCUUGACUUUGGGAUAACUUCAGGAAACUGGGGCUAAUACCGGAUAGGAGCUCCUGCUGCAUGGUGGGGGUUGGAAAGUUUCGGCGGUUGGGGAUGGACUCGCGGCUGAUCAGCUUGUUGGUGGGGUAGUGGUUUACCAAGGCUUUGACGGGUAGCCGGCCCGAGAGGGUGACCGGCGACCUUGGGCCUGAGAUAGGGCGCAGACGGCUACGGGAGGCAGCAGGGGGGAACAUGGCACAAUGGGCGGACGUCUGAUGCAGCAACGCCGCGUGCGGGAUGACGGCCUUCGGGGUGUAAAACGCUUUCGCCUGUGACGAAGCGUGAGUGACGGUAAUGGGUAAAGAAGCACCGGCUAACUACGUG
rnacentral:rRNA from 1 species